UACGGCUCAGUAACACGUGACUAACCUACCCUUAAGUCAGGGAUAACCUCUGGGAAACUGAGGAUAAUACCUGAUAGGAGAUAUGCCCUGGAAAGACUUAUCUCUCAAACUCGUGCUUAAGGAUGGGGUUGCGGCGGAUUAGGUUGUUGGCGGGGUAAUAGCCCACCAAGCCGAAGAUCCGUAAGGGCUCUUAGCGGAGAAGCCCUGAGAGGGAAUCUGAGACACUAUUCCCAGCCCUACGGGGUGCAGCAGUUAGGAAUAAUCUGCAAUGCGCGAAAGCGUGACAGUUUGAACCAGAGUGCUUCUCAUUGAGAAGCUUUUGUGGAAUGUAAAAAGUUUCACGAAUAAGGACUGGGUAAGACGAGUGCCAGCCGCCGCGGUAAUACUCGCGGUCCAAGUCGCAGCCAUUUUUAUUGGGUCUAAAACAUCCGUAGCUUGCUUUGUAAGUUUUCUGUGAAAUCUUGUCUCUUAAAGACAAGGCGUGCGGGAAAUACUGUAAGGCUAGAGACUGGAAGACGUAAGAAGUACGUCUAAAGUAACGGUAAAAUGUGUUAAUCUUAGACGGACUCACAACAGCGAAGGCAUCUUACGAGUACAGUUCUGACAGUAAGGGAUGAAGGCCAGGGGCGCAAAACGGAUUAGAUACCCGUGUAGUCCUGGCAGUAAACACUGCACACUAAACAUCAGUACCUCCUCGAGAGGUAUUGGUGCUGCAGCGAAGGCGAAGAGUGUGCUACCUGGGAAGUAUAGUCGCAAGGCCGAAACUUAAAGGAAUUGGCGGA
rnacentral:rRNA from 1 species